GGGGAGAUACCAAAGUGGCCAACUGGGCCUGACUGUAAAUCAGGUGGCGUACGCCUUCGUAGGUUCGAAUCCUGCUCUCCCCA
rnacentral:tRNA from 1 species